rnacentral:rRNA from 1 species
GGAUAGAUCAAGGUUAACAUUUUGGUUUGUUGGAAGACAACAAAUUUUAUUGCGAAACUCAUACAUAUAUACUCCCUUCGUUCCUAAAUACUGUAUAAGUCUUUGUAGAGAUUCCACUAUGGACUACAUACGGAGCAAAAUGAGUGAAUCUACACUUUAAAAUGCAUCUAUAUACAUCCGUAUGUGGUUCAUAGUAAAAUCUCUACAAAGACUUAUAUUUAGGAACAGAGGGAGUAAAUCGCUUAAGAACCUGUUUGGAGCAAAUAAUUACAUCAAAUUUCAAAUUAUUUGGAAGUAGGACAACCUAUUACGCAUGCCAGCAUGUCCCCGACGUUGCGCCCUGCCCAUAACAGGUGCCGCGCCUCGCGGUUGUGGCGGAACGGCACAACGUCGUUGCCGUACCGACUGAGCAGGUCGUGCCGCUGCUCGGCGAGGAUGCCCGGCUAGUACGUACUGUUGACCGCGUACUCCGACAGCAUCCUCACCUCCGGCGGCAUGUGGGCUCGGAACGUGGCAAUGGUCUGCCGCAUGGCGGGAGUGCGGACGUCAGGGAUUGGCGCCACCGGAAUGCCUCCUAGGCUACGGUUCCAGCCCUUCGUCAGCCGUAUGUCUGGUGGCACCAUGAGGCCGAACCGCGCCAGUUCCUCGGCGUCCGUGACGAACAGGCUGCGCGAGGGCCAUCUUCUGUAGCCGGCCUUGUGGUCGUGACACGGCAUCGCAGCGGUGGUGGAGGUGGAGACGGGUGGGUUUUUGGAAGGGAGGCGUCAAACGGCUGUGAUGAUCGACAAUGGGGGAAGUUUUGUGC